rnacentral:rRNA from 1 species
GACGAACGCUGGCGGCGUGCUUAACACAUGCAAGUCGAGCGGUAAGGCCCUUUCGGGGGUACACGAGCGGCGAACGGGUGAGUAACACGUGGGUGACCUGCCCUCAGCUCUGGGAUAAGCCUGGGAAACUGGGUCUAAUACUGGAUAUGACUCCACGGUGCAUGUCGUGGGGUGGAAAGCCUUGUGCGGCUGAGGAUGGGCCCGCGGCCUAUCAGCUUGUUGGUGGGGUGAUGGCCUACCAAGGCGACGACGGGUAGCCGGCCUGAGAGGGCGACCGGCCACACUGGGACUGAGACACGGCCCAGACUCCUACGGGAGGCAGCAGUGGGGGAAUCUUGCGCAAUGGGCGAAAGCCUGACGCAGCGACGCCGCGUGAGGGAUGACGGCCUGGUU